UGCGCACCUACAGCGGCAUUGCACUGCGUGCCCCCAAGGAGCAGCUGCUCACCCGCGUGGAUAAAGAAAUCGUGGGCAACAUCCUGCGGCUCUCCAGAGCUAAACAGAGGGACUUGCAGCUCAAGCUCGCCCUGGUGCAGAGCAUCACCGAGGUCAGCUGUGCCAUCCAGGCUGUGGGCGACUGCGGCAGCUUUGAGCUGUCCUUAAAGCAGGAGGCAACGUGGACCUUGCUGGACUGGAUCAAGGGGGAGCCCUGGGACUCCCUGGUGUAUGGAGUGUUCCAGGCCCUGGAGGAGUUGAGCAAGCUGAGGCCACCUCUGAGGCGGGAGGAAAAUCACAAGCUGCUGGCAGUGUGCUGCCAGACUGUCUUGUCCUGUCCUUCCCAGGAGCGGAUG